rnacentral:rRNA from 1 species
CCUACGGGAGGCAGCAGUGGGGAAUUUUGGACAAUGGGCGCAAGCCUGAUCCAGCAAUGCCGCGUGAGUGAAGAAGGCCUUCGGGUUGUAAAGCUCUUUUGUCAGGGAAGAAACGGCUGAGGUUAAUACCUUCGGCUAAUGACGGUACCUGAAGAAUAAGCACCGGCUAACUACGUGCCAGCAGCCGCGGUAAUACGUAGGGUGCAAGCGUUAAUCGGAAUUACUGGGCGUAAAGCGUGCGCAGGCGGUUUUGUAAGUCUGACGUGAAAUCCCCGGGCUCAACCUGGGAAUUGCGUUGGAGACUGCAAGGCUGGAGUCUGGCAGAGGGGGGUAGAAUUCCACGUGUAGCAGUGAAAUGCGUAGAGAUGUGGAGGAACACCGAUGGCGAAGGCAGCCCCCUGGGUCAAGACUGACGCUCAUGCACGAAAGCGUGGGGAGCAAACAGGAUUAGAUACCCUGGUAGUCCACGCCCUAAACGAUGUCUACUAGUUGUCGGGUCUUAAUUGACUUGGUAACGCAGCUAACGCGUGAAGUAGACCGCCUGGGGAGUACGGUCGCAAGAUUAAAACUCAAAUGAAAUUGACGG